CUGUAACUUUGAUGAUUUCUAAGUCUUCUCAACCCCUCUCAACUCCAAUCGUUUUUAACCAACAGCCUCUGACUCAAGUGUCUAGCACGAGAAUCCUGGGAGUCAUUGUAGACAGUGAUGUUUCUUGGUCUGGUCACAUAGACUUUAUCGUUAGGAAGACUUGCACGAAAAUUGGCGCUCUUCGACGGUGUUUUCGGCAACUAAGUUUGAAGGCAACACGGCAGUUUAUCCUCUCGGUUAUCCUGCCUGACUUAUUAUACUGCUGCUCUUGCUUUGCAAUGAAGCUAUCCGCCAAGGACCGACAGCGACUCUCGUCCGUUUAUCGUCGUUCUGUACGCGCUGCUUGUGGCUCGAAACUACAAGAUGACGUCAUGCCGCUGUUAGCUAGAUUGUCGAUUGAUUCGUUUGAACAUUACCUUAUUCGUAGCAUUGCUAAAUUUAUCCAUGUUAAUCAUGUCGUGUUCCCUCUCCCAAAUCUGACAGACCUUUUCCCUCAAGUUUCAACCGGCCCUAGGACAACAAGAAGCUCUUUUAAUGCUGCUAUUGCAAUUUCUAAAUUCCGGACGACUGACGGUGUCAAUUCCUUUUCAAAUCGUGCUGCCCUGUUCUUUAAUUCUUUGCCUGUGGAGUGGCGCACCCAGCACCGCACUACAUUUGCUAAGCACCUUCAACAAAACCAAGGUGCAAGACAGCAUGAGAGAUCGUGUAAACGAUGUGAACUCCAAAAGGUAAGCUCCUGAACAAGUGGAAAGAUAUGGGUAUUUACAAACUCUCUCUUCAUCCAUCGAUUGGCGCUAUGCAUUGCAUUUUGUCUUCACAGAUAAUCUGGUCAAAUUUAUUGUAACUAGAGAGUGCAAUCGUGCACUGCUUGGGGCCCAUCCCAAUGUCAUCACAUGGCUGUGGUGACUAGUGUAUAUCUGGGAGAAUUUUUCCUCGACUGAUACGGAGUGCAGGUGGAUCGAUUAUGAGAAAUGCGAACAUGUGAAGUUCAAGGCUAGAUGCACUUCACAUUCGGCGUGCGAUCUCAGCGUCUGGGACCUGAUGAAGUCUUGGUUGGAUGAUUAUUCAAGCCUAAUACUACUCGACACACCAAUGUUCAUGUGAAUGUAAUUUUUUCAGAGCUGCACUAUUUACGUGUUGAUGCUUACUUCGGUGUUAGCGUGUUUCCCCCGGAUUGUUUCUAUCAUCAUGAUCGUGUGUUCUUGGGCUGAGCGAGCACAUGCACAAGUGUGCAGCUAUAACCCUGUGUAUCUUUGGUUACACUUUGUUCUGCAAUGCAUGUACCUUGUAACAUUAUGUGCUUGCACUGCUUUGUCUGGCCUGCGUAUUUCAGGACUAUUCAGUGCAUUAGACCCAGGUUUGUUUGGUUGCCGGAUGACCUCUUGUUGCGUCGCUCUGUAUUUGUAUUCAUCAAUUUUUGGGCUUGAGAAUUGAGCUGUUGUGUGGUUCCCAAUAUGAAAACAUCAUGCUGGUGCUCUGUGUUUCGAUUAUCGACUGUCGGAGCAGUCAUGCAUUUAUUAGCAGAACGGUCAAUACUGUAGUCUUUUCA